AAAUGAAUAGACGGGGACCCGCACAAGCAGCGGAGCAUGUUGUUUAAUUCGAAGCAACGCGAAAAACCUUACCAAGGCUUGACAUUUGAUGCAUAUCCAAGAGAUUGGAGAAUUUAUAGCAAUAUAACAUCUAAACAGAUGGUGCAUGGUUGUCGUCAGCUCGUGUCGUGAGAUGUUGGGUUAAGUCCCGCAACGAGCGCAACCCUUGUCAAUAGUUGCCAUCAUUCAGUUGGGGACUCUAUUGAGACUGCCGUAGACAAUACGGAGGAAGGUGGGGACGAUGUCAAAUCAUCAUGCCUCUUACGCCUUGGGCUACAAACGUGCUACAAUGGUCAUUACAAAGAGAUGCAAAACAGCAAUGUGGAGCCAACCUCAAAAAGAUGACCCCAGUUCAGAUUGUGGGCUGAAACUCGCCCACAUGAAGUCGGAGUUGCUAGUAAUCCCAAAUCAUCAUGUUGGGGUGAAUGCGUUCCCGGGUCUUGUACACACCGCCCGU
rnacentral:rRNA from 1 species